rnacentral:RNase_P_RNA from 1 species
GAAGUCAGCCGGGUAAUCGCCAGUUUUUAACUGGAGGAAAGUCCGGGCUCCACAGGGUAGAGUGCCAGGUAACGCCUGGGAGAUGUAAAUCUACGGCCAGUGCCACAGAAAAUAUACCGCCUCUUUAUGGGGUAAGGGUGAAAUGGUGCGGUAAGAGCGCACCGCGCAACGGGUAAUCGUUGUGGCAGGGUAAACCCCACUCGGAGCAAGACCAAAUAGGGGAGCAAUGGUGUGACCCGCACUGUUCCCGGGUAGGUUGCUUGAGGUGUAUGGUGACAUACAUCCUAGAUGAAUGAUUACCCCAGCUUCGGCUGGACAGAACCCGGCUUACAGGCUGACUUUUCUU